UCCUACGGGGGGCAGCAGUGGGGAAUAUUGCGCAAUGGGCGAAAGCCUGACGCAGCGACGCCGCGUGAAGGAUGAAGGUCUUCGGAUCGUAAACCUCUGUCAGCAGGGAAGAACGGUCACUGUGCUAAUCAGCAGUGAAUUGACGGUACCUGCAAAGGAAGCACCGGCUAACUCCGUGCCAGCAGCCGCGGUAAUACGGAGGGUGCGAGCGUUAAUCGGAAUUACUGGGCGUAAAGCGCUCGUAGGCGGUAUGUCAAGUCAAGGGUGAAAUCCCCGCGCUUAACGUGGGAACUGUCUUUGAAACU
rnacentral:rRNA from 1 species